GAUGAAGAACGCAGCAAAAUGCGAUAAGUAAUGUGAAUUGCAGAAUUCAGUGAAUCAUCGAAUCUUUGAACGCACAUUGCGCCCGCCAGUAUUCUGGCGGGCAUGCCUGUUCGAGCGUCAUUUCAACCCUCAAGCUCAGCUUGGUGUUGGGACUCGCGGUAACCCGCGUUCCCCAAAUCGAUUGGCGGUCACGUCGAGCUUCCAUAGCGUAGUAAUCAUACACCUCGUUACUGGUAAUCGUCGCGGCCACGCCGUAAAACCCCAACUUCUGAAUGUUGACCUCAGAUCAGGUAGGAAUACCCGCUGAACUUAAGCAUAUCAAUAAGCGGAGGA
rnacentral:misc_RNA from 1 species